rnacentral:rRNA from 1 species
GAUGAACGCUGGCGGCGUGCCUAAUACAUGCAAGUCGAGCGAACAGACGAGGAGCUUGCUCCUCUGACGUUAGCGGCGGACGGGUGAGUAACACGUGGAUAACCUACCUAUAAGACUGGGAUAACUUCGGGAAACCAGAGCUAAUACCGGAUAAUAUAUUGAACCGCAUGGUUCAAUAGUGAAAGACGGUUUUGCUGUUACUUAUAGAUGGAUCCGCGCCGCAUUAGCUAGUUGGUAAGGUAACGGCUUACCAAGGCAACGAUGCGUAGCCGACCUGAGAGGGUGAUCGGCCACACUGGAACUGAGACACGGUCCAGACUCCUACGGGAGGCAGCAGUAGGGAAUCUUCCGCAAUGGGCGAAAGCCUGACGGAGCAACGCCGCGUGAGUGAUGAAGGUCUUCGGAUCGUAAAACUCUGUUAUUAGGGAAGAACAAAUGUGUAAGUAACUAUGCACGUCUUGACGGUACCUAAUCAGAAAGCCACGGCUAACUACGUG